AGACACGUAAUGAAAAGUCUCAGGAGAGCUCAGCUACUACAAUACUUCAUAAAAACAUAAGAACAGCCAUAAUGGGUCAGAUCAAUGGUCCAUCUAGCCUAGUAUCCUGCCUUCAGAUGCUUCAGAGGGAAUGAAAAGAACAGGGCAAUUAAUGAGUGACUGAUCCCGUUAUCCAGUCUCAGUUUAUGGCAAUCAGAGGUUUAGGGACACCUGGAGCAAGGGGAUGUAUCCCUCACCAUCUUGGCUAACAGCCACUGAUGGACUUAUCUUCCAUAAACUUAUCUAAUGCUUUUUCGAACCUAGUUACACUGCUGGCCUUCACAGCAUCCCCUGGCAACAAGUUCCACAGGUUGGCUGUGUGUUGUGAGACAAGGUACUUCCUUUUGUUUGUUUUAAACCUGCUGUGUAUUCAUUUCAUUAGAUGACCUCGGUUCUUGUGUUAUGUGAUGGGGUAAAUAACACUUCCUUAUUCACUUCCUCCACACCAUUCAAUAUUUUAUAGACCUCUAUCAUAUUCCCUCUUAUAUGUCUCUUUCCUAAGCUAAACAGUCCCAGUCUUUUCAAGCUCUCCUUGUAGGGAAAUUGUUCCAUAUUCCUAAUCUUUCUUGUUGCCCUUCUCUGUACUUUUUCCAGUUCUAAUAAGCCUCUUGAGAUGGGGCGACCAGAACUGCACCCAGUAUUCAAGAUGUGGGUGUGCCAUGGAUUUAUAUAGUGGCAUUAUGAUAUUUUCUGUCUUAUUACCCAUCCCAUUCCUAAUGGUUUCUAACACUGUUAACAUUUUAGGCUGCCACUGCACAAUGAGCAGAUGUUGAAACUACCCACGAGUCCAAGAUCGCUUUCUUGAGUGGUAACAGAUCAUUAAUGAACAUGUUGAAUCGUACUGGUCCCGGUACACAUUGUUGGGAGGGAGCUGCCAUUACCUGUCUCCACUCUGAACACCGACCAUUUAUUCCUAUCCUUUUUCUCCUAACUUUUAACCAGUUACUGAUCCACAAAAGGACCUUCCCUCUUAUCCUAUGACUGCUUAGUUUCCUUGAGAGUCUUUGGUGUGGGACCUUGUCAAAGGCUUUCUGAAAGUCCAAGUACACUAUAUCCACUAGAUCACCCUUGUCCACGUGCUUCUUGACAUCCUCAAAGAAUUCUAAUGGAUUGGUGAGGCAUGCUUUUGCUUUACAAAAGCCACUUUGACUCUUCAACGUAUCAUGUUCAUGAUAUGAUAAUUCUGUUCUUUACUAUUGUUUCAAUAAAUUUGUCUGAUACUGAA